GCAGCGCUCCGUGUGGACGGGAACUAGCCCCGCUCUCCGCCCCUGCGUGGGUCUGCCAGCCCCGGGGCCGCCGCACUGGUGACUCUGAGAGACCCAGGAGCGGGAGCUGCCUUCAUGUACCACACACCCAUUAGCAAGUGAUGGAUGAACACAUGUCAUGGAGGUGAGGUGGCCGUCCCUGUUAAAAAUCAUCUCUCUUCUUCAGCUCAGUGACAGCCUGAAUCGUCCCCUUUCCCAGCAGAGCCCCAGGGCUGGAAUCAGCAACAAACCCCUCUGUAGGUAGCAGGAACGAACACAAACAUUUUCUUUAAAAGGCGCUGUCUCCUUCCUUCUCAGGUAAGAUUUGUCAUUAUGGUAAUUUAUCUCCAUUACCAUGUCCCUUCUCCCAGGUGAGGGAUGGGAGUGGUGCCGCCUCCCCAUCUUUCAGUCACUGUGGGAACCUGUCUGCUCAGAACUGAAAGGUUGCUGCCUGUCCAUCUAGCCUACUCAUUAAAUUUGCAGGAAUGAGUCAUUUUGCUAGUACAUGUGACACCUAGGAGAAAACUAUUUUGCGAGAUGCAUUGGUGGUAUAGUGGUGAGCAUAGCUGCCUUCCAAGCAGUUGACCCGGGUUCGAUUCCCGGCCAAUGCAGGGGUGUGUUUUUUCCUUCUCUGGAAUUGGUUUAAUGUCAGUCCCAUUGUGUGAUAAUCACAUUGUCAGUGGAAUGAGAAAAUUCAUGUCCCAGAUCCCAGCAGGUCACUGAACACACAGCGGGGGAUGCAGGGGAUGGGACUAUGUAGUGAGCUGCAGGAGUCAUCCUUGUGUCAUUAGAGAAAGUCAGAAACCAGAUGAACAUGCAUCUGUAGCUCCUUGUCUUUGGUUGCACCUUGUCAGGCAUGGGAUGGUGCAACCAAAAGUGCAAAUAUAAAGUUUAGUGACAUUUUUUGCUGCUACAAGAUUCUUUUGUGUUCCCGUAAUAAUACCACAAACCAAACUUCAGCAGCAAUGUGGACACAGGCAUUUCCCUCAGCCUGAAUCAUCCCUUAUUGCCACAGAGCCCGAGGACUGGAAUGAGCAACAUCAAACCCUGCUGUACAUAGCGGAAAUGAACACAAACAUUUACUUUAAAAGGAGGUGUCUCCGCUAAGAUUUGUCAUUCUAGUAAUUUAUCUUUGUUUCCCUUCUCUGAGGGGAGGGGAGGGGUGGGGUUGGUGACAAUGUUAUGCUUAUAAGAAGCACAUGGGAUCUUUUUCAGGGGAAAAGGCAAUAUGCCGUGUUUAUUGAAGAUCCAACAAUCAGCAUAUGCAUUUAAUUACACCCCCCCUCUCCCUCCCCACACUGUCCCACCAGUCAAUGUUAUAGUUACCAGUCCAGAGUUGGGAUCAAUCUAGUGGCCAGGUAGGUUGAUCACAGGUAGGGAGGAGUUGGGUUCUGUCGGUCACGACACGAUGCUCCAAGGAAGUCUUGGCAGAAUGAAUCCAAAGUUUCAUGGCAAGGCACCUUGUUUAUAUAGUGAUUUUCCUUCAUUGGGGCCAAUGAGUUUUGCACCAUCAUGCUGUAAUUAAUUGUUGUUUGACAAGUGCUUGUUUUUUUAAAUUGAACUUUUCGUUCUUUAUUUUGUUCUUUUAUCAAGUCUUUCAGGGAGUUAUCCCAUGCUGGUUUUGAUCACCGCUAUCUUGUCCCCAUUGAUAGGUGCCUGUCUCAUCUUUAGAGUUGUCAAUCUGCCCUCCUCUGACAUCUCAACAGGGGUGUGUUGUAGCCUCCUGGUGCCCUUGCGUCUGUCUCUGGUUCCUCCCUCGUACAUCUGGUUCAGCGACGGCCUUCACGCUUAUCUCUCAACACACAUUCCUCAUUCACACUCAAAACAGAACUGAUUUACACAGAACAUUUUGAACAGGAACAUCAAAUUGCAAUGCAAAGGGAAAACAAUCAUUGCAUUCUUUUACUUAUUUUAAAAUGCUAAACCUACAGCAAAGUGGUGACUUUAAAAGGUCUAUUACUGACUUGAAAUCAGCCCAGACACAGAUUCCCGCUGAUGUAUCUUUACCAAAUGGCCCAUUAGGCCAUUCCUUUCUGCUAUUCAAAAAGGGUGGCUGGCAGGAUAUGAUUAAAUCAUACACCAAUACAUUUAAUACAUGCUACAUUAUUAUUUUUAUGCUUUAUUUUAAAUUAUACAGAAUACCAACAUAAAAUCCUACUACUACAACACCUCACCUUGGGAUGUAGCACACCUCUCCCCAUCUUUCAGUCACUGUGGGAACCUGUCUCUGCUCAGAACUGACAUCUUGCUGCCUGUCCACCCAUCCUGCUCAUCAGCUGUGCAGGAAUGAAUCAUUUUACUGGUACCUGGGACAGCAGCUUUCUGCAGUUGCAUUGGUGGUAUAGGGGUGAGCAUAGCUGCCUUCCAAGCAGUUGACCCGGGUUCGAUUCCCGGCCAAUGCAGGGUUGUGUUUUUGCCUUGUCCAGAAUUGCUUUAAUGUCAGUCACACUGUGUGGUAGUCACAUUCUCAAUGUCCCAAAUCCCAGCAGGUCACUGAACACACAGCAGGGGAUGAGACUAUAUAGUGAGCUGUAGGAAGCAUUCUUGUGUCAUUGGAGAAAGUCAGAAACCGUAGGAACAUGCAUCUGUAGCUCCUUCUCUUGGUUGCACCAUACUCAGGGGAGAAAGUGCAAAUAUUAAGUUUUGUGACAGUUUUUGCUGCUACAGAUUAUUUUGGUUUCCAGUAAUGAUAUCAUACUGGAAGACAGGAUACUGGGCUAGAUGGACCUUCGUCUAACCCAUUAGGGCCAUUCUUAUGCUCUUAAAAAUGGUACAAAUAAUCGUAUCCUUCUAGAAUGUAACUUUAGCUUAUACUCACCUUAGCAGUGCCAGUUAAAAAAAAAUUACCUAAACACAAAACUUUAUUCACUCUGCAGAUGAAGGUUGCUUAUUUUCAAAUUGUAUUUUUAGUUAUAGCUGUAAAGUAACUUAAAAUUCGUAUGAAAGUAAAUGCAGUUCCAAGUAUGAUACUAAUACCAAUGAUGGGGUGAACUGUUAGUGAGUCACGUACAUGAUUGUGUUCGGUAAACCUAAGUGCCAAAAUAAUUAGAAAACUAAAUUCCCUUUCUUAAUAAAGGAGAAAAACCUUAAUCACAUAUGUUAGAAUUAAGUAAAUUUCUUUUUUUAGUGGAGUGAAAAACAAUUGACUAAAAUAGAGGAGAUAAUGGCAGAAACACCGAGUAUUUCCAUUAGUGACAGUAAGCAGAUUUUAUUUAUUUUAUUUAUCUCUACGAAAGAUAGUGUACAACAGAUCAAACAUGUGUUUCUGAUAUCUGUGUUAAAGCUCCAGAACUGAUACUUCAAGGUUUGGGAUUGGGAAUAUUUUGCUGUAUUAGCUCCUGAUUGCUCUAAAUUUACACAGAAAUUUAAAAUGUGGCUUUAAUUGGA